GACAUAGGGCGCGAGCGUUGUCCGGAUUUAUUGGGCGUAAAGAGCUCGUAGGCGGCUUGUUGCGUCGGCUGUGAAAACCCGAGGCUCAACCUCGGGCCUGCAGUCGAUACGGGCAGGCUAGAGUGCGGGAGAGGAGAGUGGAAUUCCUGGUGUAGCGGUGAAAUGCGCAGAUAUCAGGAAGAACGCCCGUGGCGAAGGCGGCUCUCUGGAACGCAACUGACGCUGAGACGCGAAAGCGUGGGGAGCAAACAGG
rnacentral:rRNA from 1 species